CCUUUGACGUUAGCGGCGGACGGGUGAGUAACACGUGGGUAACCUACCUAUAAGACUGGGAUAACUUCGGGAAACUGGAGCUAAUACCGGAUAAUAUUUCGAACCGCAUGGUUCGAUAGUGAAAGGUGGUUUUGCUAUCACUUAUAGAUGGACCCGCGCCGUAUUAGCUAGUUGGUAAGGUAACGGCUUACCAAGGCGACAAUACGUAGCCGACCUGAGAGGGUGAUCGGCCACACUGGAACUGAGACGACGGUCCAGACCUCCGUACGGGGAGGCAGCAGCC
rnacentral:rRNA from 1 species